rnacentral:rRNA from 1 species
AUGACUUGUGUUGCUCUGUCCGAUCUGCACGUCGGCUGGGACAAACAGUCUGUCUGUGUCCGCCUAUCACGCCUAUGGCAUUACCGUGGUGGUUUGGAGAAUGGACCUGUCAAAGUUGUGCACAUGGUUCUUCUGGAUGCUCAGGGUAACCAUGGUUACGCAACUGUCCCAACGGAUAUUCUUGGCGCUUAUAUUGACAUGCUACAUGAGGGCGUGGUCUAUGAAUUUAGUCGAUUUGCCGUGCAUCCUCGGCCAAUCAUUUUGAACCCCGUCGACGCACCGUUGAUGAUCAAGUUUACACAAUUUACAGUCAUAAAGAACUGUUUCCACCUAAACGACGAGUUCCCGGAGUGGACAUUCCACUUGACUCCAAUUAACGAGCUACCCCCUGCAAAUGAUACUCCUCAGAACUACAUAGGUGAUGCAAAUUACACCAAUGGUUCUUCUUAUGUUCUACAAUCGGUUAUUCUGCAUAAAUUGAUGUCUGUUAAGUAG